rnacentral:rRNA from 1 species
AGUGAACGCUGGCGGUAGGCCCAACACAUGCAAGUCGAACGGCAGCACAGUAAGAGCUUGCUCUUACGGGUGGCGAGUGGCGGACGGGUGAGGAAUACAUCGGAAUCUACUUUUUCGUGGGGGAUAACGUAGGGAAACUUACGCUAAUACCGCAUACGACCUACGGGUGAAAGCAGGGGAUCUUCGGACCUUGCGCGAUUGAAUGAGCCGAUGUCGGAUUAGCUAGUUGGCGGGGUAAAGGCCCACCAAGGCGACGAUCCGUAGCUGGUCUGAGAGGAUGAUCAGCCACACUGGAACUGAGACAAGGUCCAGACUCCUACGGGAGGCAGCAGUGGGGAAUAUUGGACAAUGGGCGCAAGCCUGAUCCAGCCAUACCGCGUGGGUGAAGAAGGCCUUCGGGUUGUAAAGCCCUUUUGUUGGGAAAGAAAAGCAGCAGGUUAAUACCCCGCUGUUCUGACGGUACCCAAAGAAUAAGCACCGGCUAACUUCGUG